rnacentral:rRNA from 1 species
UACGGAGGGGGCAAGCGUUGUUCGGAUUUACUGGGCGUAAAGGGUGUGUAGGCGGUUGCGUAAGUCUGGUGUGAAAUCUUCACCGCUUAACGGGAAGAGGUCACUGGAAACUGCGUAACUCGAGUAUGGUAGAGGCAAGCGGAAUUCCUGGUGUAGCGGUGGAAUGUGUAGAUAUCUGGAGGAACACCGGUGGCGAAGGCGACAUCCUGGACCGGUAUUGACGCUGAGGCGCGAAAGCCAGGGGAGCAAACGGG